AUCUACAGCCACACCACCCUGAAUAUGCCCCACCUUGUCUGAUCUUGGAAGCCAAGAAGGGUCAGGCCUGGUUAGUACUUGGAUGGGAGAAAUAAGAAUGAACUUACAGUUGAGGUUA
rnacentral:rRNA from 1 species